UGAAAUCGGCGUCGUGUGGACGGGGCCUUAAUUGGGAUGUCUAGUUUGAUAUUUCUUUUCAUGGCAUAAAAUGCCCUCCUUGCCUUGUCUCUCAGGUCUUUAGCAGUUUUUUUAAAAUUUCCUGGGGCGUUCAUGUUUAUUCCAAGGGUUGGACUCAAGCUGCAUCCCUGUCUCAAACCCCGGCUUUGUUGGUAGAAGUCUGUGUGUUUCUUUCCUAUCUUAACUGCACAUUUGUUGUUUGUUUACAUGGACUUUAUGAUGUCGUAGGUUUUUCCUCCAACACCUUUUCUAUUAAUUUAAUCAACAGACCAUCGUGCCAAAUUGAGUGAAAGGCCUUUUUAAAGUCUACAAAGCAGGAGAAUAGUUUGCUUUUGUUUUGUUUUAUUUGGUGGUCAAUGAGGGUGCUUAAUGUGAAUAUAUGGUCUGUUGUACGAUAAUUUGGUAAGAAGCCGAUCUGGUUUUUGAUUAUGGCAUUAUUGUCAGUCAGGAAGUUAAGGAGUCUGCUAUUUAUAAUCAUACAUAGAAUUUUACCAAGGUUGUUGUUGACACAGACUCCUCUGUAGUUAUCAGGGUAAAAUUUAUCUCCACUUUUGUGGAUUGGGACUUUUUGUGGAUCAGUCCGGUUCCAAAUAUUGGGGAAGAUCCCAGGGCUAAGAACAGUGUUAAGCAGUUUUAGAAUUGCCAAUUGGAAUUUGAGAUCAGUAUAUUUUAUCAUUUUGUUUAGAAUACCAUCAACACCACAUGCCUUUGUUCGUUUAAGAGAACAUAUUUUGUCCUGUAGUUCUUUUAAUGUGAUUGGAGAGUCUAGUGGGUUCUGAUAAUCUUUAAUAACUGAUUCUAGUGUUUGUAAUUUAUCUUGUAUAUGUGUUUGUUCUUUGUUCUUUACAAUGGGGCCAAAGAGAUUGGAGAAGUGAUUUACCCAUAAAUCUCCAUUUUGAAUGCUUAAUUCCUUGGUGUCCACCUGGCCGAGAGCUUAACCUGGUCCCUCAACACCGGCUCC
ensembl:lncRNA